CCUACGGGCGGCAGCAGUGGGGAAUAUUCGGCAAUGGGCGCAAGCCUGACCCAGCAACGCCGCGUGAAGGAAGAAGGCCCUCGGGUUGUAAACUUCUUUUAUCAAGGACGAAACAAAUGACGGUACUUGAUGAAUAAGCCACGGCUAACUACGUGACAGCCGCCGCGUUAAUACGUAGGUGGCAAGCGUUAGCCGGAUUUACUGGGGGGAAAGGGCGUGUAGGCGGGACUGCAAGUCAGAUGUGAAAACCACGGGCUCAACCCCGGGCCUGCAUUUGAAACUGUAGUUCUUGAGUGUUGGAGAGGCAGGCGGAAUGCCGUGUGUAGCGGUGAAAUGCGUAGAUAUACGGAGGAACACCAGUGGCGAAGGCGGCCUGCUGGACAAUAACAGACGCUGAGGCGCGAAAGCGUGGGGAGCAAACAGGAUUAGAUACCCUAGUAGUC
rnacentral:rRNA from 1 species